rnacentral:rRNA from 1 species
GUUAUUGGGUAUCAAAACCUAAUAGCGAAAUUAACAUAACUUUUAUGGGAUUAGUUUUUAGAUUAUUUAUAGUCUAUUAAUUCAAUCCCGGGGCGUUCUAUAUAGUUAUGUAUAAUAAUAUUUAUAUUAUUUAUACCUCUAACUAGAGCGUACCUUGAGCAUAUAUGCUGUGACCCGAAAGAUGGUGAACUAUACUUGAUCAGGUUGAAGUCAGGGGAAACCCUGAUGGAAGACCGAAACAGUUCUGACGUGCAAAUCGAUUGUCAGAAUUGAGUAUAGGGGCGAAAGACCAAUCGAACCAUCUAGUAGCUGGUUCCCUCCGAAGUUUCCCUCAGGAUAGCUGGUGCAUUUAAAUAUUAUGUAAAAUAAUCUUAUCUGGUAAAGCGAAUGAUUAGAGGCCUUAGGGUCGAAACGACCUUAACCUAUUCUCAAACUUUAAAUGGGUAAGAACCUCACCUUUCUUGGUAUGAAGGUUGUGGUUGUGAUAUAAUGUGCCCAGUGGGCCACUUUUGGUAAGCAGAACUGGCGCUGUGGGAUGAACCAAACGUAAUGUUACGGUGCCCAAAUUAACAACUCAUGCAGAUACCAUGAAAGGCGUUGGUUGCUUAAAACAGCAG